rnacentral:rRNA from 1 species
ACCAAAAAUACGCCUGCACAACCGCUCCAACCAUCACAAAACACAAAUUAAAACAUUACUACACACUAAGUAUAUGAGAUAGAACUUUAUCUUUAGCGCAAUAGCAUAUAGUACCUCAAGGGAAUCAUGAAAGAAUUCAUCUACCUUUAAGUAUAUCACAGCAGGACUUACACCCCGUACCUCUUGCAUCAUGGUUUAGCAAGCAUACUACAGAUUUAGCGCCCUACACCUGUCACCCCGAAACCAGACGAGCUACCUAAGAGCAAUCGUAAGGAUGAACCCAUCUCUGUGGCAAUAGAGUGGGAAGACUUCUAGGUAGAGGCGAAACACCAACCGAGCCUGGUGAUAGCUGGUUACUCAUUAAAUGAACUUUAAUUCAACUCUAGCCACACCCCCAAUAUACCACAAUUUAAUGACACAGCUAGAAGAUAUACAAUAAAGGUACAGCUUUAUUGUAAUUGGCUACAACCAAAAUUAGUGGGACACACUUCCUCAAUAUAACUGUGGGCCUUUAAGCCGCCACCAAAAACAAAUGCGUUCAAGCACAUAUAACACCAAUACAAUAAUUUCACCACACCCCCUAAGGCCAAACUGAGUUAUUUUAUUACUCAAUAAAAGAAACCCUGCUAAAACUAGUAAUAAGUCACCCAUCUCCUCGCAAGCCCUUAAGUCAGCACGGACCAACCACUGAUAGUUAACAGACUACAAAAAGUAUUAUAAACAAAAUCAAGUAUAUUUACCACUUACACUCCUGUCACCCCAACACAGGCAUGCAUAAAGGAUAAUAAAAAGUCUCAAAAGGAACUCGGCUAAUAACACCCCAACUGUUUACCAAAAACAUAGCCUUUAGCUACAAUCAAGUAUUAAAGGUCCCGCCUGCCCAGUGAAAAUACUUUUUUAACGGCCGCGGUAUCCUAACCGUGCAAAGGUAGCGUAAUCAAUUGCCCCAUAAAUAGGGGCUGGUAUGAACGGCUGAAUGAGGGUGUACCUGUCUCCUGAGACCAAUUAAUGAAACUGAUCUUUCAGUACAAAAGCUGAAAUUCACCCAUAAGACGAACAGACCCUGUGGAGCUUAAAACUCUAAUACUACAACCAAUUUUACCCCUACUUUCCCCGGAAACUCCUUAAAACUUGAUAGUAUUAAUACUUUUAGUUGGGGCGACUGCGGAAUAUAAAAAAUCUUCCACGUAAACAGGACCAUAAUCCAUCCAAGACCAACAAGUCAAAGAAAAACACAUCUGACCCAGUAACACUGAUCAACGAACCAAGUUACCCCAGGGAUAACAGCGCCAUCCCCUUCAAGAGCCCAUAUCGCCAAGGGGGCUUACGACCUCGAUGUUGGAUCAGGACAACCAAGUGGCGCAGCCGCUACUAAAGGUUCGUUUGUUCAACGAUUAAUGUCCUACGUGAUCUGAGUUCAGACCGGAGAAAUCCAGGUCGGUUUCUAUCUAUGUUUAAGUUUCCUCAGUACGAAAGGACCAGAGAAACUAACGCCACUAUCAACCAACACGCGUUUAAUUUCACUACUGAACACAAAUCAAAACACCAAAACAAUCCUUUUAACACCCCUAGAUAAAGGGUAGAGA